CAAAAAUCAGCCAUAAAUCCAAGUAGUCGUAGGAAAAUAAACUGGUACCAAGCAUGCACCUGGGGAGUAGUGCCGCUUUUAUAUUAGGGCUGGCGAUGGGAGGGCUCACUGAAGUACCAUUUAUUCUUUUCUAUGAAGGAACACUGACACAACCUCUGAAAUUUGUGUUGAAAGAGUUGUGUCUUGUUUAGGUUAUUGCAGCCAAAAAAAAGCUUGUACACUGAAACAAUGACAAGCGAAGGUUAUUUAUCACAUGUUCCUUAGCAGCACUACUGCUUCGGUUACAUGUUUCUUCCACAAGAAUAUUUUAAUUCGCCAUACACAGAGACACAGUGCUGUGCAUUUUUAGGAAAUACUUCUAAAACUCACUUUUCCCAUAGAUUUCCUAAUACAGUACAGAUCAGAAGAGGCGGAAAUAUGAAGAGAUCAUUUUGUCUCAUUUUUGUUACCCUUUGUAUCAUGAGUUGCCAAGCUCGCCCCAAAAUCGACUCCAAAACAAUUAUGGUGGAAGAGCGAAUCGGUUCAGAAUCGUGCAGAAGAUAUGACGCUACGAGUUCCAAUAACAGCGAGGCAGCAUGGAGCACCGUCUCCAAAGACACCAGCGACGAACAGCGCGAGCAGAGCGGGCCUAACGUUGGCGACGCCGCUUGACGGAGGCGUGCCUUCUUCACAAUCGCCCCCACAGAAAAAGAGCAGUCCUGGCUGCC